GUAGAAAACUCUGUGUUUUUCAUUGGAGAGCUCAUUCCUUACGUCAUAGAAAAACUUAAAAAAAAUUAACCAAACUUGUUUUCCUAUAAUGAGCUGUAACUUGGAAAAUUAUGAAAAAUGCUUUUACACCAUUGAGAAAAACAUUUCAUUUGAGCAUAAAACUCUAUUUCUUGUUAUCGUAGAAAAAAUUUCUUGAAUACAACUCAUUCUUUAUAGAUGAACAUAGUUUUGUUUUCAUAUGUUUGCUAUGGUCACAGUUACAUGAAUUAUUCAAAGCAUUGGAAUUAUGAUAUUAAGGUUCUUGAAAGUCAUCUUUUACCUUUGCAUUGUUAAAUACAUUUAGUAUUUUUAGAUCAGGACUAAUGAUGUAGGAAAUGCCAGGAAUUUAGGACUACUUAUUUUAGGAAG
rnacentral:misc_RNA from 1 species